CUGUACUUCUGGCAGCAGCUCCUCCAAAGCACAUGAUUUCUCUCAUUUUAAAGACUUAACCUUGAUCCACCUUGGGGUGGGGAGAAAAUGGAGAGCAGAGAAGGCAGAGAAAGGAAAGAAGAAAUGCAAGAAUACUGAUGAGGAAUCAUAAACUCUACGUUUCAAGACUGCAAGAAUAGAGGGCCACUAAAAUAAGCCAAAUCAAAGGAAAUGAAGGCCAUUAUAGGUGUUUGGAAGUCUUGUGACCUAAUAUUCUGGAAGCAGGAAGCUUUGCUCCAUUUUGAAACAGCAGUUUUGCCAAGGGAAAUAUGUCUUUAGAAAUCAGGUAUGUUUUCUUGAGUGUUAGAAUACACGACUGUGGCAAAUGAUUAUAGAAAUGCCAUGAUAGUCUUUGGGCUAUUUAAAAAUGUCAUACUACAUGAUUUUUGAAUCAUAAAAGCUUACAAGUGAUACCAGUUCAAAUUGAUCAUUGUGUGACUAAGGUACUUAAGAUAUUCUGAAGCCCACAGGGAUUUUUUUGUGUCUCUACAGGGAAAAUACAGAAAAAUUUAAUGCAUGUGAGAGCAUAAGAGACUUUCAGUUGUUUAUCAUAAGGAUCCCCUGGAAUUUCAAAAAAUGAUGGUCUCAGUCUGAAAAGAUUUUAGAAAACGACAAAGGCAAAACUUAUUUUCCAAAGUUUAACUUGUGUGUUUUCAUCUAAUGCUUUCUGUAUGCUGGUGAUAAAGCCUCUUUAUUCUUUAUCCGUACAUUUAAUGCUGGCCUUGUAGACUUAAAAAGCUGUUAUCCAC
rnacentral:lncRNA from 1 species